rnacentral:rRNA from 1 species
AUGUGGACCUGUCUUCGUCAGCGCUAUGAGCCCUCUGGUGAUGCCUUAUAUCUUUCUGUGGUUCGUCAGGAGCAUGCUCUUCAGCAGGGUGACUCUACUGUUGAUGACUUUUAUGCACAGAGUUCUGCUAUCUGGCGCCAGCUUGAUUCUCUCCGCAGUGCUGGUUGUCGUACUUGCCCCUGCUGCCAGGCUGUCCAGGCCGAUUUGGAGUUUCAUCGCGUCUAUGAGUUCCUGUCUCGGCUCCGUAAGGAGUUUGAGCCCCGGCGUGCUCAGUUGUUUGCUCGUGGCCGUAUUUCUCUCAUGGAGGCGCUUUCAGAGAUUCGUGCUGAGGAGACUCGCCUACGUGGUGCUGGUUUGCUGGAGGUUCCCUUUGUGCUCGCUACUCGGGUUUCUUCCACUCCACCUGCUGCACCGCCCCACUCUCGCUCGAGUGCUCCGCCGCUCUUGCCCACUCCUUCUGGAGGCUCAGGUCGGCCCCGUUCACAUUGUGACUACUGCAACAAUGAUGGUCAUAUUGAGUCCCAGUGCUACACAAAGCGGAAACACCUGCGCAAGGCGCGAUCAUCCUCCUCAGGGACUUCGUCAUCUCCCUCGCCAGCUUCAUCCAUUGCUUUGACCGAGCAGGAUAUUCUGAGACUUAAGCGUCUGCUCGCGGCUUCAGGUUCUUCCUCGACGGGUACUGCUGGUUCUAUGACUGAUGCUUCCCGCACUGAGCACCCGUCCUCUACACAGUCAGGUACAUCCCCAUGGGUUCUGGAUUCUGGAGCUUCUUUUCAUAUGUCUUCUCAUUCUUCUGCUUUGUCUUCUCUUCGCUCGCUGGAUUCUCCUGUUCAUGUCUUCACUGCUGAUGGUACUCCACUUUCUGUUGCUUGUAGAGGCCAUCUUUCUACUCCUUAUUCUGUUCCUGAUGUUGCUCAUGUUCCUCGACUUACUAUGAAUCUGUUUUCUGCCGGUCAACUUACUGACUCUGGUUGUCGUGUCAUCCUUGAUGUUGACUCUUGUUCUGUCCAGGAUCGUCGCACGCACACUCUGGUUGGGGCUGGCCCUCGCCGCCGUGAUUCUCAGGGUCUUUGGGAGUUGGACUGGCUUCAUGUUCCUUCCGCUGCCACCACCAUCGCCAGUUCCUCCGCUGCUGUCGCUUCUGUUACUGGUUCCUUCAAGCAGUGGCAUCAUCGACUUGGUCAUCUGUGUGGUUCUCGAUUAUCGUCUUUAGUUCGUCGAGGUCUUCUGGGGUCUGUCUCAGGAGAUGUCUCUUUAGAGUGUCAGGGUUGUCGUCUUGGCAAGCAGAUUCAGCUACCAUAUUCUCAUAGUGAGUCAGUGUCUCAGCGUCCUUUCGAUUUAGUCCAUUCUGAUGUAUGGGGUCCGGCUCCUUUCACUUCGAAAGGUGGUCAUAAAUACUAUAUUAUUUUCAUCAAUGAUUUUUCUCGUUACACAUGGAUUUAUUUCAUGACUUCACGUAGUGAGGUGUUGUCUAUUUAUAAGCGUUUUGCUGCCAUGGUUCAUACUCAGUUCUCUUCACCCAUUCGUGUUUUUCGUGCUGACUCCGCUGGUGAGUAUAUCUCUAAGAUGUUGCGUGGUGUCCUUGCUGAGCAUGGUACUCUUGCCCAGUUCUCUUGUCCUGGUGCUCAUGCUCAGAAUGGUGUGUCUGAGCGCAAGCAUCGUCACCUUCUUGAGACGGCUCGUGCUAUGAUGAUCGCCGCCUCUCUUCCGCCUCAUUUUUGGGCCGAGGCUAUCUCCACUUCUGUCUAUCUCAUCAACCUUCAGCCAUCUGCUGCUUUGCAGGGUGGUGUUCCUUUUGAGCGUCUGUUUGAUCGCUUUCCCGAUUAUUUGAUGCUUCGCUUGUUUGGUUGUGUUUGCUAUGUUCUUCUUGCCCCUCGCGAAUGCACCAAACUGACCGCUCAGUCUGUUGAGUGUGUCUUCUUAGGCUACAGUGAUGAGCAUAAGGGCUAUCGUUGUUGGGAUCCUGUCGGUCGUCGGAUGCGUAUCUCUCGAGAUGUGACUUUUGAUGAGUCUCGUCCUUUUUACCCACGACCAUCUUCCUCGGUCUUUUCCGUGGAGGAUAUCUCUUUUCUCACUUUUCCUGACUCCCCUAUCACUUCUGUCACGCCUGUGCCUAUUCGUCCCACUCCCUCUGCUUCUCCACCCCUCGUCGAUUCACCGCCACCAUCUUCCCCGGUCUCCUCACCUAGCAUGUCACCGGAUUCUACACCUUCAUCUCCGGUGACUUCUUUGUCGCCACCCCCUGAUUCUACCUUGGCGAUUCCUCCUUCUCUUGUUCCAUCUCUUCCGCAGCAUUACACUCGUCGUUCACGACCUGUGGAUGCUUCCUUGGAUGAGUCGUCCUCUUCCUCUCAGCCUACUUAUGGCCUGCGUUCUCGUCCUCGUCCGCCUAUUGAUCGCUUUGGCUUUCCCACCGCUGGUGCUGCUGUUCUUGAGCCGACUUCUUACCGUCAGGCUGUUGUUCAUCCUGAAUGGCAGUUUGCGAUGGCGGAGGAGAUUGCUGCUCUUGAACGCACUGGUACCUGGGAUCUUGUUUCUCUUCCUCCCGGAGUCCGUCCCAUCACUUGUAAGUGGGUCUACAAGGUUAAGACUCACUCCGAUGGUUCUCUUGAGCGUCACAAAGCUCGUCUCGUGGCUCGUGGUUUUCAGCAGGAGCAUGGUCGUGAUUAUGACGAGACUUUUGCUCCUGUGGCCCAUAUGACCACUAUUCGUACACUUCUUGCCGUUGCCUCUGCACGCCACUGGUCUAUAUCUCAGCUUGAUGUUAAGAAUGCCUUUCUUAAUGGUGAGCUGCGUGAGGAGGUGUACAUGCAGCCACCACCUGGGUAUUCUGUUCCUGAUGGCAUGGUGUGUCGUCUUCGUCGCUCUCUCUAUGGCCUUAAGCAAGCCCCUCGCGCCUGGUUUGAGCGUUUUGCUUCUGUGGUCACUACUGCUGGUUUUUCAGCAAGUGCUCAUGAUCCCGCAUUGUUUAUUCACCUUUCUCCUCGUGGCCGGACUCUUCUUCUUCUCUAUGUUGAUGAUAUGGUCAUCACUGGGGAUGACCCCGAGUAUAUUGCCUUUGUAAAGGCCCGUCUUAGUGAGCAGUUUCUUAUGUCUGAUCUUGGACCUCUUCGCUAUUUUCUUGGGAUUGAAGUCUCUUCUACCUCUGAUGGUUUUUUUAUAUCCCAGGAAAAGUAUAUCCAGGAUCUCCUUGCUCGUGCUGCUCUUUCUGACGAGCGCACUGUUGAGACUCCUAUGGAGCUCAAUGUUCACCUCCGUGCUACUGAUGGUGAUCCUCUCCCUGACCCAACGCGUUAUCGUCAUCUUGUUGGCAGUCUUGUCUAUCUAGCUGUCACUCAUCCGGACAUCUCUUAUCCGGUUCAUAUUCCGAGUCAGUUUGUUUCUGCUCCCACAUCGGUUCAUUAUAGUCAUCUCCUUCGUGUUCUCCGAUAUAUUCGGGGCACGAUCUCUCACCGUCUCUUCUUUCCUAGCUCCAGUUCUUUACAGCUUCAGGCCUAUGCGGAUGCUACGUGGGCUAGUGAUCCUUCUAAUCGCCGUUCGCUUUCUGCUUACUAUGUUUUUCUUGGCGGUUCUCUCAUUGCCUGGAAGACGAAGAAACAGAUUGCAGUUUCCCGUUCGAGUGCUGAGGCUGAGUUGCGAGCUAUGGCUCUUUUGACGGCAGAGGUGACUUGGUUACGGUGGUUACUUCAGGACUUUGGUGUUUCUGUCACUACACCGACUAUGCUCUUAUCUGACAGUACACGUGCUAUUAGCAUUGUGCGCGAUCCUGUGAAGCAUGAGCUCACCAAGCAUAUUGGUGUUGAUGCUUUCUAUGUGCGCGCUGCUGUGCAGGAUCAGGUUGUUGCUCUUCAGUAUGUGCCUUCCGAGUUACAGUUGGCGGAUUUCCUGACGAAGGCCCAGACUAGAGCACAACAUGGCUUUUAUCUCUCCAAACUCAGUGUUGUUCCUCCACCAUGA